GAUGAACGCUAGCUACAGGCUUAACACAUGCAAGUUGAGGGGCAGCACAGUGUAGCAAUACAUGGGUGGCGACCGGCGCACGGGUGCGUAACGCGUAUCCAACUUUCCCGUUACUCAGGGAUAGCCUUCCGAAAGGGAGAUUAAUACCUGAUGGUGUUUGAAAUUCGCAUGUUCUUCAAACUAAAGAUUUAUCGGUAACGGAUAGGGAUGCGUGACAUUAGAUAGUAGGCGGGGUAACGGCCCACCUAGUCUACGAUGUCUAGGGGUUCUGAGAGGAAGGUCCCCCACACUGGAACUGAGACACGGUCCAGACUCCUACGGGAGGCAGCAGUGAGGAAUAUUGGUCAAUGGUUGGAAGACUGAACCAGCCAAGUAGCGUGAAGGAUGAAGGUUCUAUGGACUGUAAACUUCUUUUAUACGGGAAUAAAGCCCGCUACGUGUAGCGGUUUGUAUGUACCGUAUGAAUAAGCAUCGGCUAACUCCGUGCCAGCCGCCGCAGUAAGAC
rnacentral:rRNA from 1 species